rnacentral:rRNA from 1 species
AUUGAACGCUGGCGGCAGGCCUAACACAUGCAAGUCGAACGAGUGGCGGACGGGUGAGUAAUGUCUGGGAAACUGCCUGAUGGAGGGGGAUAACUACUGGAAACGGUAGCUAAUACCGCCUACCAUCGGAUGUGCCCAGAUGGGCUUAGCUAGUAGGUUGGGUAAAGGCUCACCUAGGCUACGCUCCCUAGCUGGUCUGAGAGGAUGACCAGCCACACUGGAACUGAGAGACGGUCCAGACUCCGACGGGAGGCAGCAGUGGGGAAUAUUGAACGAUGGGCGCAAGCCUGAUGCAGCCGUGCCGCGUGUAUGAAGAAGGCCUUCGGGUUGUAAAGUACUUUCAGCGCGGAGGCGUUACUCGCAGAAGAAGCACCGGCUAACUCCGUGCCAGCAGCCGCGGUAAUUC